rnacentral:lncRNA from 1 species
CUGUGCAUCCUGCGGUGGUCAACUCUCUUCCAAUCUUGUGGAGCCAAUCAUCUGCAACAAUCGGCUCGGUGCUACUAGAGAACACCGGCGGAUUCAACCUUAGGAAACGGGCUAGGUGAUCAAUAGGGGGUGGUGGUGGUGGGUUGUUGUUGUUGCCUUGGUUCUGAUUCUGGAUUAAUAGAUGCAUCAAGGUAUUCUGCUGUUGGAUCAACUGAGUGAGCUCCAGUGGGAAGGAAAAUCCAUUGUCACAUCUUGGAGGCAUCUGAUAGGUUUAGAGGAGUGAGAAAACAUAAUAGAAUUGGGGUCUAAGAGAGAUUCACUAACCAUAAUGCUCAUGAGACAAACACAAUAAAUUUCACUUCAAUCAAUAGCACACAAGUCACACAAAAGCGGUCUAACCUAUAACUACAAACUCGAUCGUUGCAACUACUUGGAGGGAAAAUACUACUAAUUACAAUGGUGGUCGUCUAGAAAUUUUCAUCAGAGGAAGACUCCAUGAUAUCUGCUCUAGCUUCAUCAACAUAGUCAUCAUCACUAUUAGGGUCAGAGUCGGUGUCGUCGAUGAUGAUGUAGUCUCCUGGGUGGUUGUUCUCCUUCUUUGGUACAGGGUCUCCCAUGAACACUCCUAGCUUCUUCUUCAGGUCUUCAUUCUUUUCCAGUAGUACAACAAUCUCUUCCUCGUAUCCAUUGCGUGUAGACUUGAUCUCCUCUUCUAGCUUGUUGUUUCUCCUCACCAAUUUCUUGAUCUUCUUCAUGUGGAUAAUUUUUUCAUUCUCCUAUCGAUGAAUAUGAUCUCCCAUCUCUUGAAUGUAAGCUACAAUUGAUCCAUCCCUCCUAGUGCGAAUCAUCUCCCAUUUGUCAUCUCGGCGGCCACAUAUCUCGUAAACGGUAUUCUCCAGCUCCUUGUGAAACACCUUACAUAUGCGUCCAAAGCUGAUAUGUGCGGCCAUGCUCUUUCCUAUACUCCAGCUUGGUGCAUCCAGGUAGAAAUCAAUAGGCUCCGUUGUUGGCGCAAAGGUCCUCCCAGGUAUCCAAACUUUAAUCUUCCAGCGCUCCUCUUUCGGUACAGAUGUACAGAAAGUCCUCGUGAAGCUUGGUAAACCGAUGUUCAAAUACUUAGUGACUUCCUUGAAGUGCUUUCUGAAAGGGUGUCGUUAUCCGGCUGAGUGAACUUGUUCCUGGGAUCCGCCAUCUAUAGAGUAGAAAGAGAGGAGAAUUAGAAAUGAGUAGAAAAGAGAAAUCAUGUGGCUCAUUCUAGUGGUCGCGUCCUAUAGUCAACGUGUGCUCUGAUACCAUCUUGUAGCGACCAGACCUCAAACGAUCAAGUCUCUGUGCAUCAGUGUCAUCCCUGGAUCGGUAAUGCUGACACACACAGUACUCGAGGAAUUAUAACAGAGUUUCAAUCACACACUUAUUAUAUCGAGUCCUCAUAAAGAGUAUGAUUACAUAAAUAAAUCAUGGCUGAGGGCCAUCUAAACUAGAUAACUGCAGAAGCUUCGAAGGUAAAUGAGUUCAUCAACUCCAACGGCAUAGCUGAGUGCAAAACAACGACCUAUCGCACCUUAUUCGUCAUUUGAGUAGUCUGCAACAUAAGACGUUGCAGCCCGAAACGGGUCAGUGCAUGGAAUAUGCUGGCAUAGUUACACUUUAAGCAAAGAUAAUGCAAGAACUAUAUUUACAUGCAAUAUUUGGCUAGUGGAGGCUGUAAGUUUCAUGAUUUUGCAUAAAGCUAGUUUUUCCCUACAACAAAGGAAUAAAUUUAUUUAACUACUCCCAUGUUGCCCAUUAUUUGAGAACGUAACCCCAACUCAAAUCCCAAUUAAAAGUAUCAUCAUUAACCCAACAUCAUAAUUACUUAGAGUAACGUGAUGAGAUCACAUUAAUAGAUUCAAGUACUAGAUACUCAAGAUGUCCAUAACCGAGGACACGGCUAACCAUGAUUAGUUUAUACACUCUGUAGAGGUUUGCACACUUUUCCCCACAAGACUCGACCACAUCCAUGAUUGGAUGAUCGAGACAUAGCCUUUUUGAAGCAUUAACUCUCUACUCCAGGUAGACAGUACCACCUACAACCCUCUACAUCUUCUAGUCUACCUCUUCAAGAGCUCAUGCAACUUACUCAACUAUGCCAGAGCCCAUAAUGGCUUGUGGCUGCACACAAAAGUUUCUACCAUGAAUAAUCUUAUGAUCCCUUUGAGCCUGGGUGGCAUUCCAUAGGAUAAUCACACGGGUACUCCGGGAUUUCCAAAAACAGACAACAUUGGGUUCCCCAGGUGCCUCAACCAAUCCACCCAGAUGUAUAUUGAAGUUGCCACCUUAAUGUUAUCCAUGAUUAAAAUAACUCUCAACUUCCAUGUGUGAAUCACGAUCCAAUCCCCAUCCACGAGCAUGGCUGAGCAAUAAUAAGUAUAAUGUAUAUUCCCGGGGUGAUCAAAAGGUAUUAGGUUCUUACCUCAAACACUACAACCAAAACCACAUGUUCUCAAUCCUACUAAUGCAAUUAUUUGAGGGGCAAAACUAAUGCAUAGUAAAAACUGGGUAUAAAAGAGUAUGAUCAAAGUGUAACUUGCCUUGCUGAUGAUCUACAAACUCUAGGGAUUCAUAGUAACAAGCUUCGCACUCCGGGUAAUCUAGCAUAGACAAACAAUAUCAUACAUAAGCAAUCACUCAAUCAAAACACGAGAAAAACCGAGAAAAGAUCCAAAUCGAACACGAAACUAGCAAACGGCUUAAACUAACAAGAGUAAAAACCUAACAGCAAUAUUGACAUGUGACUUAGAUCUUAGCAGUAGGUACAUGUGAUUAGCUAUGAUUUGCAAAAAGAUUCAACUCAAACAGAGCAACGAACCUCAAAAUAUGAACGAAACAAGAUCGUUUACUAAUCUGGACUACAGUAAAAUUUUACAGUACCAAAAUCAUGUUCGAGUUGGUUGACUGAAGAGAGGGGUUCGGGAUGAAUACUUUGGCGUUGGAUUCAUCUAAUUUGGAUAAACGAGUAAAAGUUAUACUAGUUUGAAAAUCAGGGGCUGAAUCGCGAUAAAAAUAAUCACAGAUAAGUCCCUGGCCGAAAAUAAAAUAAAAAGAAAAAGACUAACGAACGAACGUUCGCUGUCUGAACUAAUCCGGUGAAUAUCAUUCGUUCAAACGAACGAACGUACGAGCGUCCGCUAAAUAACUUAACCGAACUAAAGAAAAACCAAUCUAGAAAAGUAAACCGCAAAAACUAAAAAACCGAGGUUAACCGAAGAAAAACCGACCGGUUAACGCGGUGGGGUCAAUGGCGGUGGUGGUGGCGGCGUCCGCCAGCGGCGGGGCGGCGCGUGGCUGCAGGGUGGUGUGGCGGCGGCGGAGCAGCGGUGCAGGGCGGCGCCGUCGAGCGGGCGAGGCGCGGCGGUUGCAGCAGGUGGCAACGGCGGCUUGGGAGCUCCAGGGGGCGGCGGCGUCGGCUUUUAAAGGAGGAGGGGGCGGCGAUGGCUUGGGCGAGGGGUCGAGGAGGAGGAGUUCAGCUCUGACUCUGAGCUUCAGCGAUGUCGGCGUGGGCGGCGCGGGCCGGCCUGUCGGCUGGGCCUCGGCCCAGUCGAGCGGGAAACUUUUAUUUUUAAAUAAUAAUUUCGCCUGAAGAGAAAAUUCCUAAUAAAAUAUAAAAAAAUCUAAAAAUGCCAAAAACAAUUUUCGCCGUCUAAAUAAAAUAUUUAGAUCAAAGUGAACAUUUUUCUGGCCUAAGAAUGAAAUUUUAAAAAAUGCAUAUGUUUCUAAUUCAAAUAAAAUAGCAAAUAAAAACCAGAAAAAUCAUAAUUUGAUUUUAAAAUUCUUUCUCCAACAUUUCUCUUAAUUUGAUGAAGUCAUAUUAUCUUCUCUCAUUUAUUUUUAAUAUUGGAAAUAAUUGGAGAGAAAAUAAUAAAACCAAUUUGGUCCUUUUCUUCAAAUUUGAAAUAAAUUCAAAUAUGAUUUUUUUGUUAAACCUCCAACUCUCUCCUUGGGUCCUUGAGUUUCUUAAGAUUUCCAAGAUCACAACGAAAAUGCAAGAAUAAAUAUGAUAUGCAUAUGAUGAUCUAUGUAUAACAUCCAAAUUGAAAAUUAGGGAUGUUACAACAAAGGUGUUAGGUGGGACGGGGUCGUGUUUAGCGCCCAUGCGAGCAAGGAUGUCUGCGGCUUGAUUACUCUCUCGAGCCACGUGAUGAAACUCGAGCCCCUCAAAUCGAGCUGAUAUUUUGAGUACGGCGUUGCGGUAAGCUGCCAUCUUCGGAUCUUUCGCGUCGAAUUCUGCGUUUAUUUGGGAUAUUGCGAGGUUUGAAUCCCGCACACCUUGAGGUGAUGUAUGCCCAUGGAGACGGCCAUCCGGAGACCAUGCAAUAGGGCCUUGUAUUCGGCUGCAUUGUUGGAGUCUGUAUACAGAAUUUGGAGCACAUAACAGACUGUGUCUCCUGUGGGGGAUGUCAAGAUGACACCAGCCCCAAGUUCGGCUAGCAUUUUAGAGCCAUCGAUGUGCAUCACCCAGUUGGAAUAUGUGUUGUACUCUUUAGGGAGUUCAGCCUCUGUCCAUUCGGCGACGAAGUCAGCCAACACCUGAGAUUUAAUAGCUCGGCGUGGCUUGUAAGUUAUUUCAAAUGGUAAGAGCUCAAUAGCCCAUUUGGCAAUCCGGCCGGUGGAGUCCCGGUUGUUUAUAAUAUCAUUGAGUGGUACUUCAGAAGCCACCGUGAUCAAGCACUCUUGAAAGUAGUGCCGUAGCUUGCGGGAUGCUAUAAAGACCACAUAUGUUAUCUUUUGAUAAUGCAGGUAUCGGGAUUUACAUGGUGUAAGGACCGUCAAUACGUAAUAUACUGGUUUUUGGAGUGGGAAUUUAUGUCCCUCUUCAUCUCGUUCGACGAUGAGCACCACACUCACCACCUGGUGAGUUGCAGAUAUGUAGAGCAACAUCGCUUCACCGACGUUUGGUGCGGCCAAGAUUGGAUUGCUUGCUAAUAAAGUUUUUAUUUCUUCCAGUCCAGCUGUGGCAGCGUCCGUCCACACGAAGUGGUCGGUGCGGCGGAGCAGGUGAUACAAUGGCAAUGCCUUUUCUCCUAAUCUGGAGAUAAAACGGCUCAAAGUUGCCACGCACCCAGCUAGUUUUUGGACCUGCUUGAGGUCUGUUGGUGUUGCCAACUGUGACAGGGCUCAGAUUUUGGCUAGGUUUGCUUCAAUUCCUCUAUUGGAGACAAUGAACCAAGCAGUUUUCUGGCCGGAACACCAAAAAACGCAUUUUUCGGAUUGAGCCGUAUGUCAUAUGCUUGGAGGUUGUCGAAUGUAAGGCGUAAGUCAUCCACCAAUGAUUCGACAUGCGUGGUUUUGAUGACUACGUCGUCUACAUAUGCCUCCAUAGUCUUGCCGAUUUGCUUUUCCAGGCAUGUUUGAAUCAUGCGUUGGUAGGUUGCGUCGGUGUUCUUGAGCCUGAAAGGCAUAGUGUUGAAGCAGAAGGGCCCAUACGGGGUGAUGAAUGUCGUUACGGCCUGGUCGGAUUCUUUCAUCUUAAUUUGAUGGUAUCCGGAGUAUGCGUCGAGAAAACACAGUGAAUCAUGUCCCACGGUUGCGUCAAUAAUCUGGUCAAUGCGAGGCAGUGGGAAGGGUCCUUAGGGCAGGCCUUAUUAAGGUCUUUGAAAUCGACACACAUGCGCCAGGAUUUAUCCUUCUUCGGUACCAUGACCAGGUUUGCUAGCCAGUCCGGAUGUCUGAUCUCUCUGAUAAACCCGACUUCGAGUAGCUUGGCUAGCUCCUCCCCCAUAGCCUGUUGUUUGGGCUCGGAAAAUCGGCGCAGCGUUUGCUUGACUGGUUUGUAUCCCUUCAGUAUAUUAAGACUAUGUUCGGCCAGUCUGCCUGGGAUACCUGGCAUAUCCAAAGGGUGCCAAGCAAAGAUGUCCCAAUUCUCACGCAAGAAUGCGCAUAAUGCAGCGUCGACCAUCGGAUCCAGCUAUGCCCUGAUGGAAGUUGUCUUCUUGGGGUCCGUCGGGUGGACUUGAAAUUUGACUAUUUUGUCUGCUGGUUUGAAGGAAGUGGAUUUGGGUCUCUUAUCGAGGAUUACGUCGUACCUAUCCACUAUGGAACGUAGGGUGGUUAACUCUUCGACCGCCAGGGCCUCCGAUAGUGCCUCGAGGGCCAGAGAGGCAGUUUCGUUUUCGGCGUGGAGUGCUAUGUCCGGAUCACUAGCGAUAGUGAUAACUCCGUUGGGCCCGGGCAUUUUGAGCUUCAUAUACCCGUAAUGGGGUACGGCUUGGAAGCGUAUGAAUGUGUCUCGCCCCAGCAGGGUGUGAUACUCGUUGUAGAAAGGUGCCACAUGGAAGAGCAGCUCUUCGGACCUAUAGUUCGCCGACGUGCCAAAUACCACGUCGAGUUUGAUUUUCCCCGAGCAUCUUGCUUCCCGACUGGGAUAAUGCCUCGAAAGGUUGUGUUACUUUGCUCAAUGCGACUCAUGUCCAUUUGCAUUUUAUUGAGCGUGUCUUCAUAAAUAAGGUCCAGUCCGCUGCCACCAUCCAUUAGCACUUUAGUGAGCCGAAAGUCAUCCACAAUUGGGUUUAGGACCAAAGCGGCUGGUGCUUGGACUGAGUGGGAUCUUGGUUCAUCAUCGGCAUUGAAAGUGAUCGCCGAGUCGUUCCAAGGACUUAUUGGUGCCACUUGGCAGACUUCGGCGAGGUUGCGAAGCACCCUUUUGCGCCGAUUAUUUGAUGAAAAGGUCUCGAAGCCGUGAAUACUUUGAGAUCGUUAUCCUUCGAAUAGUAGUUCUCUGGGGUAGUGUUGGCGAGGAUACCCUGGCCGCUCUUGGGCACUUGCCGGAGUAUCCAACAUGCAUGGAGGCUAUGCAUUGGUUUGGUAUUCGGCGUCAUGUGAAUUUGACAGGGCCCGUCGAGCCAUUCCUCGAGGACAGUUCUAUGUACCGUAAAGGGCUUGAUUUUCUUGUCCAUUGGAUGAUGAUUAGGUGCCCCGUGAUGGUGCAUCCUUUUUGCCCGUCCAGGAGAUGGCCUAAAGGAAUGCGGUUCCCAGCGGGCUGUCUGGGUUUUUUAGGCGCUUUCCAUUGCGCAGUACUUCUGUACUAUGUGUGCCAAAUCUAUAAAGUGUAGUAUGCGAUGGUGGCUGAGGGCAUUAAGGAUUCCCUCAUCUGUAUAGUUGUUACAAAAUACUGAGAUCGCGUCGUCAUAGCAGCAAUCUUUGAUCUUGUUUUUAACAAGGAGGAAUCUGGCCCAGAAGUGAUAGACUAUUUCCCGAGGGUGCUGGCGCACGUACAUUAGGUUGCAUAUAUCCGGAGGACCGGAAUUGCUUGGGGAAUAUUGCUUGUGGUGGGUGGGAGGGGUUAAAUCCGAACCCUAACCCACCAUGGAGUACGGAGUUUGAAGAAUUUCUGAGGCCACCAUCCCGGGCUCCUGAGUGUCCGGUGAGUUCUCAGGCUCAACGCCCGAUUCUAUGUUCGGAGGACAGGGAGUGUCCUCCAAAAGAUGGGUGUCCGGCUCUCUAAGCUCGAAAAUCUGAGCAUACUUUGUUCUCAACGUACGAGAAGAGUUAUUGUCAGCUUGUUCCUCCACAACCGCCACCUGAUGGGUGAUCGGUGGAGAUUUGAUUUCUCUCUGAUCGGGUUUAAGGCCAAUCCGAUCAUAGUCAGUUGCGACCCCCAGGGCGGCGAUGCGAUUUAGCAGUUUGUUUAAGGAUGAUACAUCUACCGGAUCCAUCUUGUCGGAGUAUUCGGGGUCGACGCGGAGAUGAUUUUUGGUGACAGGGUGGGCUACCUUUGGCUUAACGGCCGAACGAGCGCCCAUGGUGAAGCUGCCAAGCUGGAGGGUUUUCCCUGAAGCUAGGGCUCCUCCGGAAGUGAUACUGUCCUUGAUGACAAGGCGAGCCAUCAACCCUUCUGUCGAUGGCACAGAGGAACUCUCAACGAAAGCACCAAUGUCGGUAUCAAAACUGGCAGAUCUCGGGUAGGGGGUCCCGAACUGUGCGUCUAAGGAUCAAAAGUAAUAGGGGGCGGGGCACACAAUAUUUACCCAGGUUCGGGCCCUCUUAAUGGAGGUAAUACCCUACUUCCUGAUUGAUUGACUUUGAUGAGUAUAGGGGUUAGAAGAGUUGAUCUACCUCGAGAUCGUAGUGGCUAAACCCUAGAUGUCUAGCCUGUAUGAUUGUGAUUACCCCUACGGACUAAACCCUCUAGUUUAUAUAGGCACCGGAGGGUUGUACAAAGUCGGUUUACCGAGGAAGGAAACUACACAUCCGGACGCCAAGCUUGCCAUCCACGCAAAGGAGAGUCCCAUCCGGACACGGGAGAAGGCCUUCUGUCUUUUAUUUUCACGGGCCAUCAGUCCGGCUCAUGUCACAUAGGCCGGCUCCCCGAGGACCCCAUAAUCCAGGACUCUCUCAUCCACCUCGUGGCAGCAGCUUCUGGCGGCCGGGGCAUCGGUCAGUGCAGCGUCAUGAGCCGUUGUGGCUGUCGUGGCCUGUUCCUUGGCAUCCACGGCGGCAGUCUCGGCCUGGCUCCAAGCCGUCCUGACGUACGAGUCAGCUCGGAGCCACCGGGAGAUCAGCUCCAGGCGCCCUGUCGCCGCACGCCCGUCAGCACCCUGAAGAUCAUCUCGGAGUCGGUCCAGCAUGGCGUAGGCUUCCUCCAAAGCAUCAGGCCUGGCGGAGGAGCACUGGUCCGCCGGUGCAAGAGCCUGAGGAGGAGGUGGCGCUGGCACCUGGACUGGCGCUAUCGCGACGUCAGUUGGGGCAGGGGGUUCCGGGGGUUCGCGCCCUCUGCAGGCACGUCAAGAGCCGACGCCCUCGAAGUCCGCUGCGCCUUGCGAGCGGCGUCCUCUUUCUUCUUCUUCACCUCAGGGGCCAGCCUGGUCGUCAGGAGAACGACAUCAUGAGCAUGGUGUCACGACAGAAGGUAAGAAUGAAGUAAGGUGCUUACUGAUACAUCUCCAACGUAUCUAUAAUUUAUGAAGCAUUCAUGCUAUUUUAUUAUCUGUUUUGAAUGAUUACGGGCUUUAUUAUACAUUUUUAUAUUACUUUUGGGACUAACCUAUUAACCGUAGGCCCAGCCCAUAUUGUUGUUUUAUUGCCUGUUUCAGUAUUUUGAAGAAAAGGAAUAUCAAACGGAGUCCAAACGGAAUGACUCCUUCGGCAGCGUUAUUUUUGGGAAGAAUAUCACCCAGGAGACUUGGAUUUCACAUCAGAAGAGCCUCGAGGAGGCCACAAGAUAGGAGCCCCCCCUACUGGGUGCGCCCCCCUGUCUCGUGGGCCCCUCGAGCACCUCCCGACCGACUUCUUUCGCCUAUAUAAGCCUACGUACCCUAAAAACAUGGAAUAUCAAGAUAGAUCGGGAGUUCCACCGCCGCAAGCCUUUGUAGCCACCAAAAACCUCUCAGGAGCCCUUCCCGGCACCUUGCCGGCGGGGGGGGGGGAUCCUUCACCGGUGGCCAUCUUCAUCAUCCUGGCGCUAUCCAUGACGAGGAGGGAGUAGUUCAUCCUCGAGGCUGAGGGUAUGUACCAGUAGCUAUGUGUUUGAUCUCUCUCUCUCUCGUGUUCUCUCUCAUGAUCCCUCUAUGGCACGAUCUUGAUGUAUCCCGAGCUUUGCUAUUGUAGUUGGGUCUUAUGAUGUUUCUCCCCCUCUACUCUCUUGUGAUGAAUUGAGUUUUCCCUUUGAAGUUAUCAUAUCGGAUUGAGUCUUUUAUGAGAACACUUGAUGUAUGUCUUGCCGUGCUUAUCUGUGGUGACAAUGGGAUAUCAUGUGCCACUUGAUGUAUGUUUUGGUGACCAACUUGCGGGUUCCGCCCAUGAACCUAUGCAUAGGGGUUGGCACACGUUCUUGACUCUCCGGUAAAAACUUUGGGGCACUCUUUGAAGUACUUUGUGUUGGUUGAAUAGAUGAAUAUGAGAUUGUGUGAUGCAUAUCGUAUAAUCAUGCCCACGGAUACUUGAGGUGACAAUGGAGUAUCUGGGUGACGUUAGGGUUUUGGUUGAUUUGUGUCUUAAGGUGUUAUUCUAGUAUGAACUCUUGAAUAGAUUGAUCCGAAAGAAUAAUUUUGAGGUCGUUUCGUACCCUACCAUAAUCUCUCCGUUUGUUCUCCGCUAUUAGUGGCUUUGGAGUGACUCUUUGUUGCAUGUUGAGGGAUUGUUAUAUGAUCUAUCUAUGUUAUUAUUGUUGAGAGAACUUGCACUAGUGAAAGUAUGAACCCUAGGCCUUGUUUCCUAGCAUUGCAAUACCGUUUACGCUCACUUUUAUCGCUUGUUACCUUGCUGUUUUUAUAAUUUCAGAUUACAAAUACCUUUAUCUACCAUCCAUAUUGCACUUGUAUCACCAUCUCUUCGCCGAACUAGUGCACCUAUACAAUUUACCAUUGUAUUGGGUGUGUUGGGGACACAAGAGACUCUUUGUUAUUUGGUUGCAGGGUUGUUUGAGAUAGACCAUCUUCAUCCUACGCCUCCUACGGAUUGAUAAACCUUAGGUAAUCCACUUGAGGGAAAUUUGCUACUGUCCUACAAACCUGUGCACUUGCAAGCCCAACAGCGUCUACAAGAAGAAGGUUGUGUAGUAGACAUCAAGCUCUUUUCUGGCGCCGUGGCCGGGGAGGCUAGGUAAACGGCACUCACACCCCGUCCACUAAGCUCUUUUUUGGUGAGGUGAGUGCUUGAAGGUAUAUCUUUAGAUCUUGCAAUCGAAUCUUUUUGUUUCUUGUUUUAUCACUAGUUUAGUUUAUAAAGGAAAAUUAAAAAAAAUGGAAUUGAGUUUGUCUCAUACGCUUCAUCUUUUUAAUAUCUUUCGUGAGAAUGAUGGCAAGGAAAAUUGUGCUCAAGUGCUAGAAGAAGAAAUCUAUAAAAUGUUUUGCACUAAAUCUUUGAAUGAUGAGCAUGAUUGCAAUGUUGUUAGUAUGAAUUCCUUGAAUAUCCAUGAUGCUAAUGAUAUGCAAAGCCACAAGCUUGGGGAUGCUAUGUUUGAUGGAUAUGAUAUUUUUUGUCCCCCAAGUUUUGAUGAGAAUAUUUAUUAUGAUGAAAGCAUGCCUCCUAUUUAUGCUGAUUAUAUUGAUGAAAGUGGGUUUGGAAGAGUGUCAACUUUAGGUAGUAUUGAUCCCACUAUUUUGGAGGAUGUUUAAUCUUAUUGUGAUGAAUAUGAAAGUGGAUUUGGAAGAGUGUCAACUUUAUUUAGUGAUGAUUCCACUAUUUCGAAAGAGGUUCCAAUUGAUUAUGAGAACAAAGUUGAUAUCUAUGAUGAUUAUUGUGAUGACUUGUAUGCUAUAAAGAAUAAAAAUAACCAUGAAACUUUUCAUCAUGAUUUUAGUUUUCAAUUGGAUUAUGCCUAACAUGAUAGUUAUUUUGUUGAGUUUGCUCCCACUAUUAUUCAUGAGAAGAAAUUUUCUUAUGUGGAGAGUAGUAAAUUUUCUAUGCUUGUAUAUCAUGAAAAGAAUGCUUUAGGUGCUGGUUAUAUUGUCGAAUUCAUUCAUGAUGCUACUGAAAAUUAUUAUGAGAGAGGAACAUAUGCUUGUAGGUAUUGCAAUAAUAUCAAGUUUCCUCUCUAUGUGUUGAAAAUUUUGAAGUUAUGCUUGUUUUAUAUUCCUAUGCUAGUUGAUUAUUGUUCCCAUAAGUUGUUUGCUCACAAAAUCCAUUUGCAUAGGAAGUGGUUUAGACUUAAAUGUGCUAGUCAUAUUCUUCAUGAUGCUCUCUUUAUGUUUCAAUUCUUAUGUUUUAUGUGAGCAUCAUUGCAUCAUGCCUAGCUAAAAAGGCAUUAAAGACAAGCGCUUGUUGGGAGACAACCCAAUAUUUAUCCUUACUGUUUUCGUGUGUUCACAUGAUUAUGCUACUGUAGUAAUCAUGUUUUAUAGCUUUUGUUUCAAUAAAGUGCCACGUAGAGCCUUUGGGAAGACUUGGGUGAAGUCUAUAUGAUCUUGCUGUAAAAAACAGAAACUUUGCGCUCACGAGUUUAGCUUCCAUUUUUUACAGAAGAGUGAUUUUAGGUUGAUUCUUUUUUCAUAUGAUUAAUAGACAAAUUCCUCAGGUCCACCAAUUUAUUUCAUAAUUUUUGGGGUUCCAGAAGUAUACGUUUGAUACAGAUUACUACAGAGUGUUCUGUUUUUGACAGAUUCUGUUUUCAUUGUGUUGUUUGCUUAUUUUGAUGAAUCUAUGGCUAGUAUGUAAGGGUAUGAACCAUAGAGAAGUUAGAAUACAGUAGAUAUUACACCAAUAUGAAUUUAGAAUGAGUUCAUUACAGUACCUAAGUGGUGAUUUUUUUAUACUAGCGGAGCUUACGAGUUUUGUUUUGAGUUUUGUGUGGUUGAAGUUUUCAAGUUUUGGGUAAGGAUUCGAUGGACUAUGGAAUAAGGAGUGGAAAGAUACUAAUAUUGGGGAUGCCCAAGGCACCCCAAGGUAAUAUCAAAGGACAACCAAGAGCCUAAGCUUGGGGAUGCCCCGGAAGGCAUCCCCUCUUUCGUCUUCGUUCAUCGGUAACUUUACUUGGAGCUAUAUUUUUAUUCGCCACAUGAUAUGUGUUUCGCUUUGAGUGUCAUUUUAUUUUGUUAGUAUUUGCUUGCUGUUAUUUAGAAUAAUGUUUUGCAUCUUUAUUUUGAAUAAAUAUGUCAAGGAUAGCCUUUACCAUGCUUAUUUUGCUAGUAUGCAUGUUGCUAUUUGAAAACAGAAAGUUUACCGCUGUUGCAAAAAUUCCCUAGGAAAGUCAGAGCAUGAUAUAAUGUUGAAUCUUUUUGCAUAAUGAGAUCUGAUAAAUAUUUUACAGCUUAGUAUUUUUCUUAUAAUUUUUGGAGUUAGGGAAGUAUGAUGAAUCUUGCAUUCUUACAGACUAUACUGUUUUGACAGAUUGCUGUUAUGUUUGCAUUGUUUGCAUAUGUUUGCUUGUUUAAUGAUUCUAUUUGAGGAUAGGAGUAUUAAAUAUGCAGAGACAUUUAGUAUUCAAUGUUGAAUAAUAAUCUUAGUGAUUUGUUACAGUAGAUAAUGAUAUGGUUUUGCAUUGGUUUAUACUAACCUAUCUCAUGAGUUCUUGUUGAGUUUGGUGUGGAUGAAGCUUUUGAUAAAAAGAGAAACCAUGAUAUGAAAGGAAUUAAGGAGACAUAAAAGCUCAAGCUUGGGGAUGCCCAAGGCACCCAAAGAUAAUAUUUCAAUAAGUCUCAAGCAUCUAAGCUUGGGGAUGCCCCGGUAGGCAUCCCACCUUUCUUCUUCAACAACUAUCGGUUAGUAUCAGUUGAGCCUAAGUUUUUGCUUCUUCACAUGAGUUGUGCUAUCCUUGCAAUGCCAUUUUAUUUUGUUUUGUUUGCUAUUUGAAUAAGAUACCAAGAUCCGAAAUUCUUAAAUGAGAGAGAGUCUUCGCAUAGUUGCAUAAUUAUUUAGCUACUCAUUAGUCUUCACUUAUAUCUUUCUGGAGUAGUUUUUCAUUUACUCUUGUGCUUCACUUAUAUCCUAUGAGUAAAUGGUUGAAUGAAUUGAAUGUCAUAAAUCUGAAAUUAUUUAUGUUUCAUUUGCUUAUCCCAUGGGGAGUAGUGGCUUUACAUAUAAGAAGUAGAGGUUGUAAAUUUAUUGAUGGUUAGCAAGCAUUGUAUUGGUCAUUUGAACAAUUCAUGAAAGAAUAUUGAAGGAAGAGGGAUUUCACAUAUAAAUAUACUAUCCUAGACAUCUUUUACAAUUGUGAGCACUCAUUAAGUAUGACAUGCUAAAGAGUUGAUGUUGGACAAGGAAGACAACGUAAUGGGUUAUGUUUUCUCGCAUCUUAGUUAAAGUAUAUUGUCAUGGAUCAUUCAAACAUGUUGAGCUUGCCUUUCCCCCUCAUGCUAGCCAAAAAUUCCUAGCACCAAGUAGAGAUACUACUUGUGCUUCCAAAUAUCCUUAAACCCAGUUUUUGCCAUGAGAGUCCACCAUACCUACCUAUGGAUUGAGUAAGAUCCUUCAAGUAAGUUGUCAUCGGUGCAAGCAAUAAAAAUUGCUCUCUAAUUAUGCAUGACUUAUUAGUGUGGAGAAAAUAAGCUUUGUACGAACUUGUUAUGGAAGCAAUAAAAGCGACGGACUGCAUAAUAAAGGUCCAUAUACAAGGGGCAAUAUAAAGUGACGUUCUUUCGCAUUAAGAUUUUGUGUAUCCAACCCUAAAAGCGCAUGACAACCUUUGCUUCCCUCUGCGAAGGGCCUAUCUUUUACUUUAUGCAAGAGUCAAGGUGAUCUUCACCUUUCCCUUUUUCAUUUUAUCCUUUGGCAAGCACUUUGUGGUGGGGUGAUCCUGAUAUAUAUAUCCAAUUGGAUGUACGUUAGCAUGAAUUAUUAUUGUUGACAUCACCCAAAGAUGAAUACGUUUGGAGGCAACAUUAUAAGCCCCAAUCUUUCUCUGUGUCUGAUUAAAACUUCAUAACCACAAGUAUUGCGUGAGUGUUAGCAAUUACAGAAGACUAUAUGAUAGUUGAGUAUGUGAAGUUUGCUAAAUCAAAGCUCUGACAUAGACUCUUCCUGAAAGUAAGAUGAAUUGCAAUUGUUUGAUGACUAAGAAUGAAGUUUGCUAGUUUUCAAGAAAGUUUAUGGUCUAUGCUUUAACACGUGAAUUGCUUGUUACUUGAUUAUGAAUAGUUUUAUGAGAUGAACUACUGUUUAUGACAUAUAUUGAUGCUAGUAAAGGUGAUUGAAAUUAUCAUUGAUCAAACUUGUGCACCUCUAGCAUUAACACUUCAUAAAUUCUUUCUUUUAUCAUUUACAUACUCGAGGACGAGUAGGAAUUACUUACUCAUCUUCGGUGAUGUAUGCUCUUUUCUUGCCCAGGACGGUGGCGCCCCCAAGCUUCUACAGCAAGGGCCUUGCCACAGUCGGAGGCUCGGUUGGGCGCGCAACGGGAGACUCUGGAGCGGCAGUAGCAGGCGACAAGGCGAGGGCGUUGCCCUAAGGUGGUGCCGGUGUCGUUCCUCCCUUCAGGCUCCCGCGGAUCAGCCUUCAUAGCGGGGUCCCCUCAGACCUUAUAACGACCCCAGCGGGACGCGGGGACCCCCCGACCAAGCCUUCCCCGGUGUCGUUGUCGUCAGAAAGACCCCCAUCUCUUCAUGGGUCGCCUCCGAGUCCUCCUCCUCCUCCUCACCCUCGAUGGAGCCCUUGUUGGAGGACACCUCCACUGGGGAGUCGGGAUGCCCGGAUGGCAUGAGCCCUCGCUCGUUGAAGAUUGGCAUGGAGGCGGCCAGCGCCGCCCCAUCGUCGCGGCGAUACAACGGAAGGUGGGCCACUGGAAGGCAGCCUGGAUCCUUCUCGAGCAAGACUUGCACAGCCUUUGCCCAGAUCCUCAGCCGUUAGGUUCCCUCGGCGCAGUUGGAGGUCAUCUUCUGUGCCCUUGAGGUCCCACAUGGGGCGCGAGUGAGCUUGGAGGGGGGCCAGGCGCCGCGUCAGGAACUCGCGGUCAAUCAUGGCCCCUGUAAGCGCCACGGAGCCCAUAUCAGCCUGCAUCUUCUUCAAGACCGGCGCCUCCUAGGGAUUGGUGAGCUUCUCGUGAGACCAUCGAGCCAACUUCUUCGGCAACCCUGUCGGCAGCUCCAGUCGAGCAUGAUGGCUCCGGGCGUCCAGGUAUAUCCACCUGCGCUGGAAGUUGUCCACCUUCUCCCCAACCUUUAUGAGCAUGUUAUUAUCAUGGAGCAUGACGAAGGAGACGCAUCCGGAGCGCUGGUUUGAGCCAUGCAUCUGGAUGGAGAAGAAAUGGCGGAACAAUGCAACGGGGUGCCUCACCCCCACGAAGGCCUCGCGGUAGAAGGCAAAGAUCGACAGGAGGAGGACGGAGUUAGGUUGGAGAUGAAGCGUGUGGAUCUGGUAGUGGUUAAGGAUGGCGAAGAAUAACUUGGAAAAAGGCGGGACGGGCCCCGCAAAGAGGUUGUGGAGGAAGAAAGGGAAGAAUGCACCCACCAAGGCUCCCUGCUCAGCAGACUCGACCCAAAGCUCGGUUGCUCCCCCUUGUUUUCAUUGCCCGCUGUCAGCAGGAGCACGGCAGCGAGGUGCUCGACUUCGGUGAUGGAUGACGGGCUGAGGGCCGCUGCGACAGCAGGAGCGACAGGUGCGGUAGUGUCGGCAAGCUUCGCCUUCUUCCCCGUCAUUGGCGAGGAGCUUGGGAGCGAGGAAUUGGUGGAUCUAGAGGCGCCCUCGGCAGGAGAUGGAUGAGAUCUAGAGCAAGACGAAGGGAAGGCAAUGAAAGCUCGGCUGUGGGAGUUGGCCUUUUUGUCAGGCCGCGCUAGUGGUUGAGGCAUCAUGGGGAAGCGGAGACGCCCACGUCCCAUCAAGCGCCACACGUCGGCUCGGUCCGCAGGCGAUUGGGGCCCGCGACGUUCCACACUUGCCCUUUGGCUUCGCUUCGAAGCCAAGUGCGAGCAUGCCUUGGGCCCUAGGGCUUCUGUCGCCGUUUUGGGAACCAAGGUACCCAGACUUGCCUGCCUACGGCCCAUGGUGUGGCUCCAUCGACGGCUUGGUACGGCCCAUCUUUGACCAUGACAAGACAAGACUCCCGCAAAGGGCCAAGCCUCGUGAGGUGGGCGACAUCAAGACCCCAUGAGGCAGCGGCCUCCUCAGGUGGCCUCCUGACGGGGCGGAGAUUUCUAUGCAAUACCCAGCCUCACGAGGCUGAAUGACAUCAGCCAUGAUGACCAAGGCCAGGCGCGCGCCAGCGGACGUAGAGUGGCAGGUUUCCUCUUUGGUGCAAAGGAGGCAAGCACAUGUGCGGAGUCCCAAGGAAUCAACCAAAGGUUGCUAUUUGCCUACAACGAGAACAGGACCGCCAGAACGGCAGGAUGGAUAUCACCGCCGAGCCCACUACGACACCAUGAUCAGAAGCUUUGCAGGCGAAGAUCACCUUUUGUCAGGAUCAGAUGUACUUCUUGUCCCCUUUCAAAUUUGGCCGUUGUGGGAUCCCUUCCUACCUAAGUUUUGUAGGAAGAGGACCAAGGCCACUAGAAAUAUAGCCUACCCACCACCGUAGAAUGCAUCGGGUGAUCAGCUCACCAAAUCCCCAAGAGCUCAUCACAAGAACAAGCCUCCCUAGGCUGUUCUUCCACUUGUACUAGUUCAUCCUCAGCCCCCCGUGAGGCUAAUCCACCACAAAGCAGGAGUAUGGUAUUACACCGCAAGGUGGCCCGAACCUGGGUAAACUACCAGGUAUUUCUCCUUGUUCAUCGAGCUAGGUCGUGAGAGCAGCAGAUCGAUCGGCUUGAGAGGUUGAGUUCUUCACACACGCCCCUAAGUUCGAACCUUUCUUGGGUCUGCGGAGCCCGGAAUCCGCCAGCUGCCGUGCACAGGCCUCCUCCCGGGAGCGGCGGAGCGCAAACCAGACGACCGUCUCCUCCUCGGGGCCGCGUGGAUGAGCUUCGGGUCAAUGGAUCUGGAGGUGAAGGACCUCGGAUGCGCUGCCCGCCAUGCCAGAGACAGGGAGAGACCGCCGGACGGGAGCUUGGGUGGCAGAGGGGAGUGGAGUGAAGUGGCUAGAGUUUGGUCCGAUGAGCGAAUGAGGAGGAAUAUAUGUGGGGUCGACUAGGCUAGCGUUGGUUGGGUCUGACGUGGCGGACGCGCCUGGGCUCCCCCUUAUCCACCCCAUAUUUGGGAUGGAUAUGAGAUGUGAUGGUCAACCCGGGCGUUUGAGGCCCGUUUGAGGCAUCCGUUUGGGUUGAUUUUCGUGAUCGAUUAGUGAGCGGGCGGGCUGCCCGAGUUUUGAGGUGGGUUUGGGGCGCUCGACUAUAGAUGCUCUUACAACCAAUAUGUGAGUAAAUUAGUUGUAACAACAUCUUAUAUUAUUGAGUACUCCCUCCAUUCCUAAAUAUAAGUUAGGGUUUGUGUCUUAUUGAACUACCAUUUUCUUAACACUAACAAAAAGACUAUCACAAUUACUUAAAAUUCAAUUACCCUAUCAAUGAUGGAACACCCCUACCCACCCCUAAUGAUUAGCAUAUUACUGAAGUGCCGAUAAGUUUUUUGAGAGCUUCUUUAUGAUUCGCCUGUUGCUUUUUCUUGGGGUUUAUAAUCCCACAUCUCCUUUAAUGGUGCAUCAUAUUUUAGAAAUUGCUACACACAUGAAAGCAUACAAAAGUGAUUUGCAAUUAUGUGAUGUUGUUGUUGCCAUGAAAAGCAAAUAUUUGAAAUAUUGGAAAGAAAUUCCAAUGUUGUAUGCAUUUGUAUUUAUUUUGAUCAUAUGGCUGAACUUGCAGGGUUUGGUGAUUAGAAGUAUGUCAGUGUUCAACUGCAAAGGCAUUCACUAGCACCAAUGGCUAGAAAGAAGAAAAGAGCAUGGGAAAGAUACUUGUCCUCCUCCUCUUCCUUGAGCUCAUCAACACCAACAAAAAGCAGGGCACAUGAUGAUUGUCACGGAGCCGAGUAUUGGUAACGCACCUCAAGAGUGAUAAAAUCAGCUAGCGGAACAGAAUGAUGACGACUUCAACAUAGGGCAGUGGUGGUAUGACCACAAACUUGCAUAUUAUGCUUUCCAUAAUUCACACCAAAUGUGUUAACAGUACCCCGCUCAGGGUAUCGUCAGAGUUUACUUUUAAUUCAGUUGGAAGAAUACUGAACGAGAAAAGAAACAACCCCACAAGUGAUAGGGCGAAGAUACUAAUGAUCAUGGAAGAUUGGGAACUAGCCAGACAGAGAGCCUAACACACUAAGGAUAACACAUAUUUGUCAUUCAUGUUUGACAAUCUUUAAUUAGACGAUGAAUAACCAGAAAAAUAGUUGUAAUAUGUAAUUUUGAGCAACCUUUGCAAUACUCUUUUUCCUUACCAAGGUUUUUCUCCACGGGGAUAUUUAUCUGGAAGGUUUUAAUGAGGUAGCUACUAAUAAAGUUCAAUAUUUAUCCAUAUGACACCUUGCCUCUUUUUGAGUUGAGCUUGUAACUAGUUUUUUCUAUUUCUCUGUAGUUUUCUUGAUUUUUAGAUUUCCUAUUUUUAUUACUCAUUUUUUUAUAUUUUUCCGAAUUAAAAAAAGGCCCACAAGGCCGAACAACUCAUAAGACCGAAACGGCCCGCUAGGCCAAAAAGAAAAAAACUAUAGUUGUGUCGUGCUGUGCAGGCGGCCCUAUAUCUCGCCUUCAGCGAGAGGAUAGGAACCCGCUGAAGGGGCGACCGAGAUGGGCCAGUCCAGGAGCGCGUGAGGCCACAACCUCUUUUUUGUGUUCUUUUAGGUUUUUUGUUUCUAUCUUGCUUUAUUUUUUAAUUUUAUUUUUAUUUUUCUAAGUAUAUAUACUACAAAAACACUAUAAAAAUAUUUGAAGAAUGUUGACCAAGCAUUUGAAAAGUGUUAAAUGUAUAUAGAAAAAGUGUUUAUAACAUAUACGAAGAAGUAUAAAAAACUGAUCACGUAUUUAGAAAAUGUUAAUCAAGCAUUUGAAUUUUUUUGAAAAAGUAUUUGAAAAAUGUUGGUCAAGCUUUUGGAAAAUGUUAACUAUGUAUAGAAAAAUGUUGUCCAUGUACUAAAAAAUUGAUGAUUUUUUAUCAUCGAGAUAAAAAUGUUAAUCAAGAAUUUGCAAAAUGUUGAUUAAGUAUUGAAAAAUGGUGAUUAAGCAUAUAAAAAAUGUUAACUGUGUUAGUAAAAAUGUUGAUCAUGUAUUAAAAAAAUGCUGAUUUUUUUGGUCAUGUAUAUAAAAAUGUUAAUCACAUUUGAAAAAAUGUUGUACAAGUAUUUGUAAAACGUUGUUCAAGCAUUUGACAAAAUUUUAAAUGUGUAUAGAUAAAAUGUUUAUCAUGUAUUAAAUAAUAAUAUUUUUUGUUAAUGUAUUUAAAAAAUGUGAAUCAAGCAUUUGAAAAAAUGUUGACCAAGUAAUUAAAAAAUGUUGAUCAUGCAUUUGGAAAAUGUCAAAUGUGUAUAGAAAAAAUGUUGACCAUGUGUUCUUUUUUUUAAGAUGUAAAUAUUAAUCAAGCAUUUUUAAAGUGUUAAAAAUGUGUAUAAAAAGUUGUCCAUGGAUAAAAAAAAUUGUAUUGGAAAAAUGUAAACGCAUAUUAGAAAAUUGUUGUUGAUAUAUACAAACAAAUGNNNNNNNNNNNNNNNNNNNNNNNNNNNNNNNNNNNNNNNNNNNNNNNNNNNNNNNNNNNNNNNNNNNNNNNNNNNNNNNNNNNNNNNNNNNNNNNNNNNNNNNNNNNNNNNNNNNNNNNNNNNNNNNNNNNNNNNNNNNNNNNNNNNNNNNNNNNNNNNNNNNNNNNNNNNNNNNNNNNNNNNNNNNNNNNNNNNNNNNNNNNNNNNNNNNNNNNNNNNNNNNNNNNNNNNNNNNNNNNNNNNNNNNNNNNNNNNNNNNNNNNNNNNNNNNNNNNNNNNNNNNNNNNNNNNNNNNNNNNNNNNNNNNNNNNNNNNNNNNNNNNNNNNNNNNNNNNNNNNNNNNNNNNNNUUUUCUUCUUCUUAACUGUGCGGGAAAUAGGCCGGCCCGACUACUGUAUCCGCUUCAACGAAGCACCUACAGUCUCACUAAAGGCAAGAUACAGAGCAUAACUGGUUUGCUGCCAAAUAUUGGCUACUACUUGGUUGGUCUUGUCUAUCUCACAUAAAGUUGCCAAUAGUUGGCAAGUCUUGGUAUUGCCAAUAUUUGGCAAGCCAAAUAUUGGCAGCAAACUAAUUAUGCUUAUAGUCGCCGCGGUAUCGUGCCGACCUUUAUAACUAGCAUGCUAGGGCAAUCCCCGUGGUCAGGCCUUCGGGCCGCAUGGGAGUACCCUUUUAUAAAAGCGUCGACACAGGUCAUGCAAUGCCAGGCCCUUUCACAUCCGUCCCGACCCAUGUGGCCAGGUUUGGCUACACAUCUCGAAUAGAGUUGUACGUCCGCAACAGAAGAAGCAAGACAUAUUCAAAUGGGACCCGUAUUUCAUGCGUAGCACGAUGCGCGCACGACAAGUGCACAUGCUUUUUCCCAGACCAUUUCGGGAUGGGGCGCUAAGUGUUUUUCCUUUUGCUUUUUUCUGCUUUUUUUUAAACAUUCAGGAUUUCUGAAAAAUGUUCAUUUUUUUAAAUGUUCACAAAUUGGGGAAAAUGUUUAUUUUUUUAAAACUCUUUAUGGAUUUGAAAAAAGUUCAUGAAUUCAAAUAUAGUUUAUGUAUUUCAAAAAAUGUUCAAGCUUUCCAAAAUUCUAGCUAACAGUUAUAAUUUAUUCUGAAUUUUAUAGCACGUGAAUAGGAAUCAUCUACUUCUUCUUUUUCAUCUCAAUUGAAAGAAACGAUAAAUUUUAUUGUGUUAGCAAUAUAUGUUUUGAGAUAGAAUCUAUCGAGGAGAAUAAUCGCAACUAUAUCAAAAAGCAGGAAUAUAUUUUUUUGAAAAAGUAUUGCGAAAAAGUAAAAUAAAAGGUUCACUGAUUCAAAAAAUAUUUGCGAAUUUCAAAUUUUUCCCAAAAUUUAAAAAAUGACCCUGAUUGAAGGAAUGUUGAAAAUUUUGAAAUUAUUUCCAAAUUUGAAUAAUUUUUCGUGAGUUUGAAACUUUUUGUCGGUUUUUGAAACAUUUUCGUGAUUUCAAAAGGUAUUCAUAGAAAUGUUCACAAUUUUUUCUGAAAAUAUAAGACUUAGAAAAUUUCAAGAAUUUUUUCAUGAGCUUGAAAAAUGUUCACAAAUUUAUAAAAUGUUCACAAAUUCAGAGAAUGAUCAGGAAUUUACAAAAUGUUCUGGAGUUUGAGAAGUAUUCAUUGAAUUUGGAAUUUCUUCUCGAUUUUCAUAAAAUUUUGCAAAAUUGAAAAUUGUUCUCAAUUUUAAUAAAAGUUUGCAAAAAUUAAGAUUAUUCUUGAUUUUCAUAAAAUGUUGCACAAUUAUAAAAUGCUGACUUAAAAAAGAAUGAAUUUGGGAAUUGUUUGUGAUUUAAAUAAUUUCAUGUAUUAAAAAAGGAAAAAAGAAUACUGACAGGAAAAAAAAUAAAGAAACGGACCAACGGGACAACCCAUUACUUCGGGCAGAUGUGCAUGUUUGGUUGCUAUCCCACGACCGACGCGCAGUAUAGGAUCCCCGAUGCAACCUCUAACAACACUAUUCUCGAGCACCUUCAGUUUUGCAAGGAUAUUGAUAAACUUUUAACAGUGUAAGUUGAUCCACGAAAGCAUUCACCAUUCGAGGCAACAUGACCAACACCACAACAUCUUUGCACGGGUAGAAGCAGGCGGCGGAUGUGCAGGUGCAACACCCCGUGCCCGAGCACACAUACACAUAGGUGGAGCCACAUCGCACCCAUGCGCCAAAGCGAAGGAGCAACGAUAGUCCUAAUCUCAGCCCGAGCUCAAAUGCUCUUGGCAUGAACAGUAAAAUCGAAAAUAAAUAAAUAAAUAAAAAUUCAAAAAAACCUUACUUUUUUUGUCAACCAUUAAAAAAAUGCAUCGAGUGCUUGUAAAUUUUCGUCAUCACAACACAUUUGUGGUGGUCGUGGCAAAAAGGUAAAACCAGCGCUCCAAAAUGUUUUGAAAGUAGCAUCUUCGGAGCAUCAAUCUUUUUUUUUUGGCACGGCUUCUAGGAAUGUGAUUUGAUGGUGAAAAAUUACAUGCACUAAUUUUUUUUAUCGGUGUUCUUGAUUUGAUGACAAAAAAACUCCUUUUUUUUGCUUUUUCAUAAUUUUUUUGAUUCUACUAUUCAUCCGGGCUCAUUGAAGGCCCCGCAGCAGGCAUAUUGCGUAGGCAGCACCCGGAGGAAAGAAAGGGAGAAAGAGAGAAAGCGACGAGGCGUCGGGAAAAGCGGGAGUCGGCGCACCCCAUCGCCGACCAAACCCUGCCAGCCUGCCGUCCUCGCCCCGCGACGCAACCACGUACUCCGCGCAAGCCAACACAAUAUCCCAAAGCCACCGCGCCGUCCGUCCCUCCCCCUCCCUUCCUUCCUUCCCUCCCUCCCUCCCUCGCCCCCACCCCACCCCACCCUUCUAUUAUAUCCUGUCCCCUUCUCGAAGCCACCGCCUCGGCCCGCCUCCUCUGUCUAUCCCUCCCCUUCCCCCCUCUCNNNNNNNNNNNNNNNNNNNNNNNNNNNNNNNNNNNNNNNNNNNNNNNNNNNNNNNNNNNNNNNNNNNNNNNNNNNNNNNNNNNNNNNNNNNNNNNNNNNNNNNNNNNNNNNNNNNNNNNNNNNNNNNNNNNNNNNNNNNNNNNNNNNNNNNNNNNNNNNNNNNNNNNNNNNNNNNNNNNNNNNNNNNNNNNNNNNNNNNNNNNNNNNNNNNNNNNNNNNNNNNNNNNNNNNNNNNNNNNNNNNNNNNNNNNNNNNNNNNNNNNNNNNNNNNNNNNNNNNNNNNNNNNNNNNNNNNNNNNNNNNNNNNNNNNNNNNNNNNNNNNNNNNNNNNNNNNNNNNNNNNNNNNNNNNNNNNNNNNNNNNNNNNNNNNNNNNNNNNNNNNNNNNNNNNNNNNNNNNNNNNNNNNNNNNNNNNNNNNNNNNNUCCCCCCUCCCCUCUCCCCCCUCUCCAUCUCUCUCGCGCGCUGCGAUUCUUCGAGGAACGCGAGAGGCCGCUGCGCAUGAGGGCCACCGGAGAGCACGCCGCCGCCAUCCCCGUCCGCGCGUCGCCGUCGCCGUCGCCGCCGCCCCACACGGAGGACGACGCCGAGCGGAGGCGCCGACGCCGGCCCGCGCGCCGCCCCAAGCAGGCCACCCCGCCCCCGCAGGUCGACGCGGCGGGUCCGAGCCCCUGCAGAUCGAUGCCGCCCAUGCGCGCCGACUCCCGGCUCGACGCCGUGGCGCUGGCCGAGGCGGCCGGGACGAGCCGGUCCUGCCCCCUGCUGCCCACGCCGUCCCGCGUGGAGGCGCGCGGUCCGGUGGUGGGGACGGGCGGGGGAGCUCCCAGGAGGCUCUUCUUCCCGCCCUACUGGCCCGAGCAGGUUGUGGAGGACGCCCUCAAGGUAGUGGAUCGUGACGCUUGCAGCCUUCUUCCCGUAGCUCUAACUUUGCGUGAACUAAUGUAUUGAUUUGUUUUUGAGAGAACUAAUGUGUUGAUUUGUUGUUGCCUCCUCUAUGCAGAGAGGGAAUGUCUUCUCGGGGAAGUUCCGCGUGAAUGCUCACAACCGAAACGAGGUAAGCAUGGAGUCCUUCCUAAUUUGCUUCUCACUGUACUGUCUCUGUGCUAUUGGUGGGUAAUGUUUGGAAUCUGUGAUGUUGCAGGCGUACUGCACGAUCGAUGGCAUCCCUGUGGAUGUUCUCAUUACUGGGCCGGCGCAAAACCGAGCGGUAAGUUCACGUCUACUUGCACACAAAGCAAAAUGAGUGUAUCUAUUAACAAGUGAGAACUGUGUACGGUAAUUUAUAGCAAUCCCAUAUUAGUGGAUAGCGCAAAGGCUUAAUGAUGCUUCCAGCCUGUCAUUCUGCCUUGAAUUGCAUGCUAACUGAUUAGCCACUUUGGGAAGUAUAAUGUGCUAGGAACUCAGGUAACACAGUGCUUGUCAUAUAUGGCAGGAGACGAGUCUAAUAACAAAUAUUAUGUACGAUGUUGUCAUUUUGCAUCUUCUGCUGUUAAGUUGUUUUGUGAUGCCACAGGAUUGGACAUUUCAAUUUGUGUUCAACUUUCGAUUGCUUGUGACUUUGCAAAUUAUAUAUGUAGAACCUAUGUCUAGCUUGCUUUCCCACAAAUUGGUCAAGCACAUUGGGAGAAUUGCCUGCUCUUGGCGUGAUUUUGAGUCGACUCUAAACACAUGGAUGAAGUGGUAUGCCCUUAGGCCACAUAGCAUGCUUGAAGCUCUUGCAUUUGAAAAUGAUUUAAGCAAAGCUGCAUGAUACAUUAUGUUUAUGCUGCGGUCAUUUUUCUGAAUGUUCUGCUGAAGAUGUUGUGCCCUUAUUCGUCUUUCCCGUGGGCAAUAUUAACCUGCAUUCUUUAUGCAAUCACCUUGUCUGUUUGUCUCAUAAUCCUGAGAAAACAUUCUCUCAGGACGUCUUUAUUUAGUAGUACAAACAAUUCAUGCAGCGAAUUAAUGUAGCUGAUAUGUUUCUAAGAAAGCAUUCUCUUUCCUUGAUGUGUUAUAUGAAUAGAUAUGGAAUUAUGAAUGUUCAGUUCUGGUCUUGUGUUUCUUACUAUAUAUACCCAGAGUACAUGGUUCUCUUACUUGCAAUGACAUGUUCUUUCUUGAUCCACUUUGCAGAUUGAAGGUGAUGUUGUUGCCAUCACAUUGGAUCCUGUUGUUUACUGGACUAGAAUGAAAGGGCAGAACAUUGCAUGCAACCCUGCCACUGGAGGAGUUUCUGUUGCUCGGGAAGUUAGUGAAACAAACGGGAACCAUAGUUUGAAGAAAGGACAGGCAGAUGCCAGCUGCAGGUUUGAAAAGUGCAGUAAUGGCCAACCUGUUCCGGACAGGAUGCAUAACCAUCACAAGAACAGUGGUUUUAGUCAAGCUGUUAUUUGUGAAAAUGGGCAUGCUACUGUCCCAGUGAAUUAUGAAAACCUGGAUGAAGCUAAGACCGAGUUUGCAAGAGCAUUACAGAGGAUCUGUUCUGUGAUAUACAAUCACCCAAGCAGACGCCCUACCGGGAAAGUAGUAUCUGUCAUAAAGAAGUCUCCUCGCCGUAGUACUGUUGUAGGUUUCGUUGCUCCUUUCUCAGAUUUCCCCGAUGGAGAGCAGAGAAAUCAGAUGACUGUGCAGGGUUCCAAGAGGAUGAACCAUAUAUCAUCCUCAAUUUUCACGGGCUUGGUUCAAAUCUUGCCUACUGAUCCCAAGUUCCCGCAGAUGAUUGUUAGUAUCAGCACUUUGUCAGAUGGUAUCAAACAGAGGCUGAAAGAAGGUGAUACAACUAUUUGGAAGGAAUUAGUUGCUGCACAGAUUGAUGAAUGGAAUGAGGAAAGUCCCUAUCCCUGGGCUUGUGUCGUACAGUUCUUGGGAAAGGGUGGACAGGUUGAAACACAUAUGGAUGCUAUACUGUUUGAGAAUGCAAUAUCUGAUGUUGAAUUUUCCCCUCAGUCCAUGGCAUGUCUCCCUGACACUUGCUGGAAGAUUCCGCAAGAAGAACUUGCAGCAAGAAAGGAUCUGAGAAAUGUUUUGACCUUAACAAUAGACCCUCCUACUGCUUCGGAUCUUGAUGAUGCAAUAUCUAUUGAGACACUUUCUGGAGGAAUUGUCCGUAUUGGGGUCCAUAUUGCGGAUGUUUCUUACUUCGUUCAUCCAGAGACUGCAUUAGAUGCUGAGGCUCAGAUUCGGUCUACCAGUGUUUACACCUUGCGACGUAAAGUAUCAAUGUUGCCUUCAAGACUUUCAGAAGAACUAGUUUCGCUUAAUCCUGGGGUAGACAGGCUUGCCUUUUCAGUUAUUUGGGACAUUGAUCCUCAUGGCAGCAUAGUUAAUCGCUGGAUUGGUCAUACCAUUAUCUUUUCAUGCUGCAAGCUGUCAUAUGAUCUCGUGCAAGAUCUGAUUUCUAGUGAUUCAAGCCAGUUUAGAUCUGCAGCUGCAUCUCUUCAAGUGCAUGGCAUGUUUAAACAUGAGGAUGUUAUAAAGUCUCUUCGAUGCCUCUAUGAGAUCUCGAAAAAUCUGAAGGAUAUUAGAUUCAAGGGUGGAGCUCUUUCUCUUGACACUUCAAAGCCCACGAUCCUAUUUGAUGAAGAUGGGGCUCCAUGCGAUAGCUAUCGCUAUAAAAGGAAUGAUGCAUGUUUCAUUGUCGAGGAGUUGAUGUUGUUGGCAAAUAUGUCAGCUGCAGAAGUUAUAUCCAAUGCAUUCCCUGAUUGUGCUUUACUUCGUAGGCAUCCUGAACCUAAUCCACGGAAGCUGAAAGAAUUUGAGGCAUUUUGUGCUAAAAAUGGGUUUGGAUUGGAUUCUUCAUCAUCCGGUCAACUUCAUCUUUCAAUUUGCAGAAUAAAGGAAGAGUUGCAAGAUGAUCCUGUUAUGUUUGAUAUUCUCAUGUUUUAUGCUUCAAAGCAAAUGCAGUCUGCAGAAUACUUUUGCACAGGGGACCUGAUAAGCAAGAAGGAUGAUUGGGCUCAUUAUGCGCUAUCUAUCCCUUUAUAUACACACUUCACUUCACCACUUCGAAGGUAUCCUGAUAUAAUCGUUCACAGGACACUGAAUGCAGUAAUUGAGGCUGAACAGAUGUAUCUGAAGCAAAGGAAAAUAUCCACUGGGCGGAAUGGAGUGAAAGCUACAUCUUGUGAAGUUGUGAGUAGAUGCUUUACAGGCCUUCAAUUUAGUAAGGAUGCUGCUGAAUCCAAAGAAGGGAGAGAAGCACUGUCUGCUGCAGCUAAGAAGUUUAAGGUCCCCAACUCUGAAGAUCUUGGGGAGGCUGCUGAACACUGUAAUGAAAGGAAGUGGGCCAGUCGCCGUGCAGAAGAAGCUGGACAAAAGCUCUACAUGUGGGCUCUACUAAAGAGGAAUGAGGUAAUAAUGGUGCAUCAUCAUCUUUUAUCUCCCGCAACAAAGUUUGUGUUGGUAAGCUUUAUUUUAAUUGAUUUGUGGUUUUACUUUUGCAGACCCUGGUCUCCAAUGCUAGAGUACUGGGGCUUGGACCAAGGUUCAUGUCAGUUUAUGUGCCCAAACUCUCGGUAUGACUUUGCCCCUAAUUUGCAUGUAAUAGAAGCUCUCCAGUCUGUGUGUUUUGAGUCACCUGACCAUCAUUUUCUGAUGUAGAUGGAACGGAGGAUAUACUAUGAUGAAGUUGAGGGAUUAUCUACUGAAUGGUUGGAAGCCACUGGAACCUUGGUGCUUGAUGCAUGCAGGAAUAAGCCCCAAAAGAGGGGAGGCCAGUUCAGAUGCAGUAGAGCAAUUGAGGAAGUCGCGGUGGUGGUGAACCCAUCCGAUCUAAUGUUACCUGAAGACAGAGACGAAUCAGGAGCAACUGAGACUACUGUGGACUCAGUUUUGCUAAGCGAUGAGGCAGUGAAAGUUGAAGUUGCCCCAGCGGUUCUGCCCAUGGUGAUAAGCUACCUGAGCGACAUCCCCGUGGUUCUUCAUGCAAUUGGUGGCGAGGAUUGUCCGGUGGACAUCGGAGUAAGACUAUACUUGUCGUCAUACUUCAAGUGACCAGAAACAGCUCAUCAUGACAGAGAACUAUCUGUGAAUUUAACUUCGUCCUAGUCGAACAAGACAAUCGUAAUAAAACGUGACAGAAAGGUAGCGGUAAAAAGUCGGUCAGGGUUCAGCAGGAAAACAUGUCAAGUUAGUGUUGUAGAUACUCCUAUCUUUACUGUUCUCCGUUUCUUAUUCACCUCCCUGUGGCAUCCAAAUGAUCGUGUGGUCAAGUGGCCUUCCUUUUCGCUCCAGAGGCCGCCUGACCAGGCGACUCAUAUUGGCCGUAGUGUUGUGUAUGUGCCAGUGAUGUAUUCACUAGUUCCUCCUCUAGUACUUUUUCUUUUAGUGUGAAUCCACCUGCUAUUUUUUUACUGGUGGGUUCAUGCAUUUGAUGUUUUGUUACUUCUGAAAGAAAGGAAUAUCGCUGCUGAGCCCUGUUCGAAGAAUAUGUCCAAGCUAUUCUGGCCCCAAAUAAAAUGUAUUGGCACCUCAUCUGUUGUACCUUUUGUGUUCAGCUUAUUCACUUGUUUCUUUUUGUGCAUCAUUAGUUACUGAUC